CAUAUAUUUAUAUGUGUGUGUGUGUGUGUGUGUGUGUGUGUGUGUGUGUGUGUAUAUACAUACAUACCUACAUAUAUACAUACAUAUAUACAUAUUAUUAC
rnacentral:miRNA from 12 species